AUUAUAUCGAAGCAAUUAACCUAAUCAAAAUGAAGCAAUCAAUGCAAAAAGAAUAAAAAUAAAUCUAAAAUGCUCUUUAUAUAAAGGCCUAAAGAAGGGGUCUAUUGUGGGCCUUUAAUGGCCGAGUACUUUAGCUCCCAAUAAUUAACUGUUUCGGAAUAAUCUACUAAACCCGAUCGAACAAAAAAAAGCAAUAUAAUUAUGGAUAUAAAUAUGGUUCGAUCGCUUACGAACCGAACCGGGUUUGACCAGACCAACUCCGGGACGCUCGCAAAAGAUGUAGUUACGAGGUUCUCUCCUUCAUCGGAUGAAACAUCUCCGAAGUCUUCCGCUCGCUCUUCUGCAGACCGUUUCUUGCAGCCCCGGUCGAUUUCUCCCAUCACCAGAAGCGAAAUCGGCGUACGACUCGUGAGCGGACGAUGGAAGCGGCGACGCCUCAGCCGGUUUGCGCUAUGGAAGCGCUCGAUCUGCUUAACUGCGCCGUCGACACCCCCUUUGACCGCGACAGGUGCCUCCGCUUCCUGGACGCCCUUAGGAGCUGCGUCCUCGAAAAGAAAGUGAAAAAAUUUUCGGUGGCAGAACAAGGCCAUGCAGCUGAAGCUCCAAAGAGAGGAAAAUCUCUGAACACCAAAUGAAAAAUGAAGCCAUCAAAAGGCACCGGAGAAAAUUUUCCCAUUCUUGGUACACACUAUCUUGUCACCCAUUUUUCCUUUCAUUCAGUUGCUCAAUUGAAGCUGCAGUUGGCUAUUGUUACAGGAAGUUAAAUAAGAUUGAAUCACAUAUGGUGAAUGUGUUAUUUAAUUUGCAUUCCUCCAA